rnacentral:rRNA from 1 species
UCCAGACUCCUACGGGAGGCAGCAGUGGGGGAUAUUGCACAAUGGGGGAAACCCUGAUGCAGCGACGCCGCGUGUAGGAAGACGGUCCUCUGGAUUGUAAACUACUGUCCCCAGGGACGAAGAUGACGGUACCUGGGGAGGAAGCUCCGGCUAACUACGUGCCAGCAGCCGCGGUAAUACGUAGGGAGCGAGCGUUGUCCGGAAUUACUGGGUGUAAAGGGUGCGCAGGCGGCGUGUCAAGUCAGCGGUAAAAUGUCGGGGCUCAACCCCGGCCGGCCGUUGAAACUGGCGUGCUCGAGUUGGAGAGAAGUAUGCGGAAUUCGUGGUGUAGCGGUGAAAUGCAUAGAUAUCACGAAGAACCCCGAUUGCGAAGGCAGCAUACCGGCUCCACACUGACGCUGAGGCACGAAAGCGUGGGUAUCGAACAGGAUUAGAUACCCUCGUAUUC